CAGAUUACAGGCCACAGAUGGAGAUUUUCAAAAACAAAAUAUCAUGCAGGAAUCUUUGCUUUGGUGAAUUUCUGGAGUCACUGCGAACCUAAAGAAGGCAGUGGGUUUGUGAAGAAGAACGAUGCCAACAAGAUGUUUUUCCAUUGGCCGUUAAUUGUUUGGACAGGUUUCUUUCUGUUGUGAAAAUUCGAAAAAGUCAGCUACAACUUGUCGGUGCGGUUUGUUUGUUUUUGUCGUCGAAGGUACGUCAAACCAGACCUAUCUUAGCAGAGAAACUUUGUGCUUACACGGACCACUCCGUCACACUGGAAGAACUUCUGAACUGGGAGCUCCUCGUUCUCAGGAGGCUCAAGUGGGAUAUUUCAGCUGUCACCCCAAAUGAUUUCAUAGAACCAAUCCUCCAAAGGCUUCCUCUUGCUAGGGGAAUAGAUGUGGCAAGAAACCAUGCUGAAACUUUUAUUGCUUUUUGUUCUAUAGACUUCAAUUUUUCCUUCUAUCCUCCAUCAAUGGUUGCCGCAGCCUCAGUGGGGGCCGCUGUGCAAGGCUUGCUUUGGCUUGGUGAACAAUGGUCUUCUCAGAAACUGUUGACCAGGCUGCAUCAGAUCUUAGGCAUCGAAGUGGAUUGUCUUCGCCAUUGUUUGGAACAAAUUGAAGGAAUGGUGGCGAUCCCAUCGGAGAAACAUUCAAACAAUCUAGUGACUAUGAAGAGUACGAACAGGGAAAGUACCAAACCACUUACUCCAACUGAUGUCCAAGAUGUCCAUUUCUAAGACUGAUUCUAUUGUAACUGCCAUCUUUCAUAGACUUAUAUGUUUUAA
rnacentral:misc_RNA from 1 species